UACGUAGGGGGCAAGCGUUGUCCGGAAUCAUUGGGCGUAAAGAGCGUGUAGGCGGCUCGGUAAGUCCGCUGUGAAAGUCCAGGGCUCAACCCUGGAAUGCCGGUGGAAACUGUCGAGCUAGAGUCCGGAAGAGGCGAGUGGAAUUCCUGGUGUAGCGGUGAAAUGCGCAGAUAUCAGGAGGAACACCAAUGGCGAAGGCAGCUCGCUGGGACGGUACAGACGCUGAGACGCGAAAGCGUGGGGAGCAAACAGG
rnacentral:rRNA from 1 species